rnacentral:rRNA from 1 species
CGAACGCUGGCGGCAUGCCUAAGACAUGCAAGUCGAACGAGAAGGCCAAUGAUUAUGGAGUGCUUGCACAAAGUAUGAUUUGGAUUUCCUUCUAGUGGCAAACGGGUGAGUAACACGUGGGUUACCUACCUCUAAGACGGGGACAACAGUUGGAAACGGACACUAAUACCGGAUGAUUCAUAUUUAGAUAACUAAAUAUGCUAAAAGGAGCGUUUGCUUCACUUCGAGAUGGGCUUGCGGCGUAUUAACUAGUUGGUGGGGUAAUGGCCUACCAAGGUGACGAUGCGUAGCCGAACUGAGAGGUUGAUCGGCCACAUUGGGACUGAGACACGGCCCAAACUCCUACGGGAGGCAGCAGUUAGGAAUAUUCGUCAAUGGGGGAAACCCUGAACGAGCAAUGCCGCGUGAGUGAUGACGGUCUUUAUGAUUGUAAAACUCUGUUGUAAGGAAUGAAACCUUAAGAUAGGAAAUGAUCUUAAGCUGACGGUACCUUACCAGAAAGCCCCGGCUAACUACGUG